rnacentral:rRNA from 1 species
AUUGAACGCUGGCGGCAUGCCUUACACAUGCAAGUCGAACGGCAGCGGGGGAGAAGCUUGCUUUUCCUGCCGGCGAGUGGCGAACGGGUGAGUAAUACAUCGGAACGUGCCCUGUAGUGGGGGAUAACUAGUCGAAAGAUUAGCUAAUACCGCAUACGACCUGAGGGUGAAAGUGGGGGACCGCAAGGCCUCAUGCUAUAGGAGCGGCCGAUGUCUGAUUAGCUAGCUGGUGGGGUAAAGGCCUACCAAGGCGACGAUCAGUAGCUGGUCUGAGAGGACGAUCAGCCACCCUGGGACUGAGACACGGCCCAGCCGCCUACGGGAGGCAGCAGUGGGGAAUUUUGGACAAUGGGCGAAAGCCUGAUCCAGCAAUGCGGCGUGUGUGAAGAAGGCCUUCGGGUUGUAAAGCACUUUUGUCCGGAAAGAAAUGGCUCUGGUUAAUACCUGGGGUCGAUGACGGUACCGGAAGAAUAAGGACCGGCUAACUACGUGCCAGCAGCCGCGGUAA